rnacentral:rRNA from 1 species
UACGUAGGGGGCAAGCGUUGUCCGGAAUCAUUGGGCGUAAAGAGCGCGUAGGCGGCCCUGUAAGUCCGCUGUGAAAGUCAAGGGCUCAACCCUUCGAAUGCCGGUGGAUACUGCAGGGCUAGAGUCCGGAAGAGGCGAGUGGAAUUCCUGGUGGUAGCGGCGAAAUGCGCAGAUAUCAGGAGGAACACCGAUGGCGAAGGCAGCUCGCUGGGACGGUACUGACGCUGAGGCGCGAAAGCGUGGGGAGCGAACAGGA